UACGUAGGAGGCGAGCGUUGUCCGGAAUUACUGGGUGUAAGGCGCGUGUAGGCGGAUGGCCAAGUCUGGGGUGAAAGCACCCGGCUCAACUGGGGAGUGUCCCUGGAAACUGGUCAUCUGGAGGACGGUAGAGGCGAGUGGAAUUCCCGGUGUAGUGGUGAAAUGCGUAGAGAUCGGGAGGAACACCAGUGGCGAAGGCGGCUCGCUGGGCCGGCCCUGACGC
rnacentral:rRNA from 1 species